ACCCGAGUUUAGGAUUUCACUCUCUUCGGACCGUGUUCCGCGCAACACAGUAACACGGGUUCUUGCAAAUUCUCUCUUUGUAAGAAGUACGAAAUUCGUUGAGUAAAGUUACAGACACGUCUUCUGGGUCCCGAUGUAAUGACUCAUGGUACUUGGUGUUCCACGUAAACCGGACCAAAUGUGAACAUGCAUUGCUAGUAACGAAAACCUGAGCCAGCAGUGGAUAAUGAUUAUGUACAAUAUGUCUGCAAUAUAAAGUGAAAACGUGAAAA